rnacentral:rRNA from 1 species
AUUGAACGCUGGCGGCAUGCCUUACACAUGCAAGUCGAACGGCAGCACGGGAGCAAUCCUGGUGGCGAGUGGCGAACGGGUGAGUAAUAUAUCGGAACGUGCCCAGUCGUGGGGGAUAACGUAGCGAAAGCUACGCUAAUACCGCAUACGAUCUAUGGAUGAAAGCGGGGGAUCGCAAGACCUCGCGCGAUUGGAGCGGCCGAUAUCAGAUUAGGUAGUUGGUGAGGUAAAGGCUCACCAAGCCGACGAUCUGUAGCUGGUCUGAGAGGACGACCAGCCACACUGGGACUGAGACACGGCCCAGACUCCUACGGGAGGCAGCAGUGAGGAAUAUUGGACAAUGGGCGCAAGCCUGAUCAGCCAUGCCGCGUGCAGGAAGAAGCAUCUAUGGUGUGUAAACUGU